rnacentral:rRNA from 1 species
AACGAACGCUGGCGGCAUGCCUAACACAUGCAAGUCGAACGAGACCUUCGGGUCUAGUGUCGCACGGGUGCGUAACGCGUGGGAACCUGCCCUUAGGUUCGGAAUAACUCCCCGAAAGGGGUGCUAAUACCGGAUAAUGUCUUCGGACCAAAGAUUUAUCGCCUUUGGAUGGGCCCGCGUUGGAUUAGCUAGUUGGUAGGGUAAAAGCCUACCAAGGCGACGAUCCAUAGCUGGUCUGAGAGGAUGAUCAGCCACACUGGGACUGAGACACGGCCCAGACUCCUACGGGAGGCAGCAGGGGGGAAUAUUGGACAAUGGGCGAAAGCCGGAUCCAGCAAUGCCGCGUGAGUGAUGAAGGACUUAGGGUUGUAAAGCUCUUUUACCCGGGAUGAUAAGGACAGUACCGGGAGAAUAAGCUCCGGCUAACACCGG